CAGUACUGCUCAAACCUCUGCCUUGCAUACUCCAAGUAGUCAAAAUCAAGACUGUUCACAUAACCUGAGAUUAUUCCCCAUAAGCCCCAAAAGAUAUGGUUUGCAAGAGUGUAGUUUUCUGCAUCAUCCACUAGCCGUUCCACUUCGUCUUCACUCGGUUUAUUGCCUGAUGCGCUUAGAUAUGCAUAUACAAAUCUGCGACGCUCCUCCAAACCUGGGUAUUUGCUAUAGUCCAAAAUAUGUGGUGUCUCAGAAUGAUAAUUUGCUACCAUUUCACAGAAGUGAUUUGCAAUGUCAUAUGCAACAGGAUUGUAACUUGCAUACUCAUAAUCAAUUAUGGUGAUUGAUCUUGUAUCUUCAUCCAUCAUUAUGUUACCGUAUUGCAGGUCAUUGUGACAAAACCCAAUAUCCUGAUCGUCUUGUGACAGCCGCUUCUCUAGCAUACUAAUUUCACCUUCAAGAUUAUUCAACUGAAAUUUCUGUGCAUCUUUAGCAGAACACAAACUUUUGGCUUCAGCCAGCCAAUUCCUCAUUCUGCUCCACAGGAGUACUCUCCUUGGACCAGGCAUAUCAAGAUCAUGGAACUCUCUCAUCUUUGCUGCUACAAGAGCAGAGAUUUCAGGAUCACGAAGGUCAGCAGCUGACAGUGUCCUGGCAUGAAUAAACUCUUCAACCCUGCCAUCUGCAAACCGACCAAGAAGCCUAGGCCCUUGUCCAUGCCUUGACAUGCACUCAAAAGUCCGAACCUCAUCAUCCCUUUUGAAAAAGACUUCAACACCUUCACCAUAAAUCCGAAUCAAUAAUUUUCGAAUAACAUCACCACUCUUUGUUGGCCAAUUUAUCUGGAAAACCUCAUUAGUCAUAGCUCCCUUCAAGGGUAUAACCUGCAAAGAAUCCAUAUUAUCCACCACAUCUCCCCACUCCGAUGCCACAGAUUGAAGAAUUUUCUUUAGCUCAUCAGGGAAAAUGCCCUCAAAGAAUCCUUUCGUUUUUAUUGCCAUUUUUGAAUCAAUAGACGCAGAUUGUACCAACAAAGUCCAAAAAAAGCUGCAGAAAUGAAACGCAAACUCAAAGAAACAGCGAUUGUACCAGUGAAACAAUCGAAUCAUCAUCUGCCACGCGUUCCCAGGACCGAAAUUCUU
rnacentral:misc_RNA from 1 species